CCUACGGGUGGCAGCAGUGGGGAAUAUUGGGCAAUGGGCGCAAGCCUGACCCAGCAACGCCGCGUGAAGGAAGAAGGCUCUCGGGUUGUAAACUUCUUUUAUCAGGGACGAAGCAAGUGACGGUACCUGAUGAAUAAGCCACGGCUAACUACGUGCCAGCAGCCGCGGUAAUACGUAGGUGGCAAGCGUUAUCCGGAUUUACUGGGUGUAAAGGGCGUGUAGGCGGGAAAGCAAGUCAGAUGUGAAAACCAUGGGCUCAACAUGUGGCCUGCAUUUGAUACUGUUUUUCUUGAGUACUGGAGAGGCAGACGGAAUUCCUGGUGUAGCGGUGAAAUGCGUAGAUAUUAGGAGGAACACCAGUGGCGAAGGCGGUCUGCUGGACAGCAACUGACGCUGAGGCGCGAAGGCGUGGGGAGCAAACGGGAUUAGAUACCCUGGUAGUC
rnacentral:rRNA from 1 species